GACGAACGCUGGCGGCGUGCUUAACACAUGCAAGUCGAACGGAAAGGCGAUGCUUUUGUGGGGUGCACGAGUGGCGAACGGGUGAGUAAAACGUGAGUAAACUGCCCUUGAAAUAGGGAUAAAUUCAGGAAAAUGGGGCUAAUACCGGAUAGGAGAUCCUGCUGCAUGGUGGGGGAUGGAAAGUGUCGGCGGUGGUGGAUGGACUCGCGGCUUAUCAGCUUGUUGGGGGGGUAGUGGCUUACCAAGGCUAUGACGGGUAGCCGGCCUGAGAGGGUGACCGGCCACAUUGGGCCUGAGGUACGGCCCAGACUCCUACGGUAGGCAGCAGUGGGGAAUAUUGCACAAUGGGCGGAAGCCUGAUGCAGCAACGCCGCGUGCGGGAUGACGGCCUUCGGGUUGUAAACCGCUUUCGCCUGUGACGAAGCGUGAGUGACGGUAAUGGGUAAAGAAGCAACGGCUAACUACGUG
rnacentral:rRNA from 1 species